UACGAAGGGGGCUAGCGUUGCUCGGAAUCACUGGGCGUAAAGGGUGCGUAGGCGGGUCUUUAAGUCGGGGGUGAAAUCCUGGAGCUCGACUCCAGAACUGCCUUUGAUACUGAGGAUCUUGAGUUCGGGAGAGGUGAGUGGAACUGCGAGUGUAGAGGUGAAAUUCGUAGAUAUUCGCAAGAACACCAGUGGCGAAGGCGGCUCACUGGCCCGAUACUGACGCUGAGGCACGAAAGCGUGGGGAGCAAACAGG
rnacentral:rRNA from 1 species